AGGGGUUUAAGUUAAUCUAAACUAAAAGCCUUCAAAGCUUUAAAUAAGAAUGGGAAUUUUUUAACCUCUG
rfam:Starfish mitochondrial tRNA gene cluster